GGUGCUGAUGUAUGGACAGCCGUAUCGUGUUACCUUAGAGCUUGAGCUGCCAGAGUCCCCUGUGAAUCAAGAUUUGGGCAUGUUCUUGGUCACCAUUUCCUGCUACACCAGAGGUGGCCGAAUCAUCUCCACUUCUUCACGUUCGGUGAUGCUACAUUACCGCUCAGACCUGCUCCAGAUGCUGGACACGCUGGUCUUCUCUAGCCUUCUGCUGUUUGGCUUUGCAGAGCAGAAGCAGCUGCUGGAGGUGGAACUCUACGCAGACUAUAGAGAGAACUCGGUGAGUGAGUAUGUGCCGACCACUGGAGCGAUCAUUGAGAUCCACAGCAAGCGCAUCCAGCUGUAUGGAGCCU
rnacentral:sRNA from 1 species